UCUGGACCGGAAGUAGGGAAAACUUUGUUCCGGUAGAAACAAAGAGCAUUGGUGGAGACGAGUAAUCAAUCUUGUAGCGUACCUUUUUGUACUUAUUUAAAAAAGAAACUGUCGUAUAUGUCGUUUAAUAGGUUUCCCAGCGUUUAAAAUAUUAGGAUGCGUUGGAUUUGGUGCUAUUCGGAGAGAUGAGUGGAUUUUACUGUGAGGAAAGGCAGCACUUUUUUGUGUGCUAUGCUCUUCACGGAGGAUGAAGUUCUCGUCCAUCCACAGUCCAGCCGUAAAUUUCUUACACCACAGGAUGUGCCUUCCAGGUUUUGAUGGAAAAACUGGGGAGAGGUUAAAUCACGCCAGACGAGGACGGCAAAAAUUACGGUCUGUUAUAAGCAGCAGGAGGAAGAACCUGUUGAAAUGGAGUGCGUUGCCGCCCUCCUCCGGCAGUGGGUAGUUCAGUUCACCGAGGCCCGCAUCUGGACAUCAGUGAUACCCUGGAGGAGAAUGUGGCUCACGGACAAAUCACUUUAAACGAGAUGUUCAGAGAGGUGGAGAAACUGAUGGAGGACACACAGCACAAGCUUGAUGAGGCUGUGCAUCAGGUAUUGUUUGUAUUCUAAGCAAUAAACAGACAUGAACUGAACUAAAACUGCUUUUAAUAAUGGCGGUCUACAACAACAAGUGCCCAAGAACCAGGACAACAGCGUCCCUACCGGAUGCAGGUCAUGUAUGCUAUUACUCGGUGUAACAUCUCCCUUUCUUUAGAGAAUCACUUAACUUCACAGGAAACAGUAGGUCAUCAAAUACUAACUAACGAAUAACUUUUUUUUAUAACUCCCCUUUGAUGCUAGCCUAAUAGCCUACUAGAACUCACAAGUUAAGUCUCUGUGGUGGCCAUGAUUGACGGCCGCUGCAAGUGAUGAUCGGCGCUCCC
rnacentral:lncRNA from 1 species